rnacentral:tRNA from 1 species
AUUUUUUGUUAUCAUCGUGAUAAUAAAAUUGCCGGGAUAGCUCAGU